CCUACGGGGGGCUGCAGUGAGGAAUAUUGGUCAAUGGGGGCAACCCUGAACCAGCGACGCCGCGUGGGUGAUGAAGGCCUUCGGGUCGUAAAACCCUUUUACCCCUGACGAGAACGGACGGUAGGGGGUGAAUAAGCCUCGGCUAACUACGUGCCAGCAGCCGCGGUAAAACGUAGGAGGCGAGCGUUAUCCGGAGUUACUGGGCGUAAAGCGUGUGUAGGUGGUCGUACAAGUUGCGUGUAAAAGCACCAGGCUAAACUUGGUGAGGCAGGCAA
rnacentral:rRNA from 1 species